CCUCUUAUGUUGUUUCUUCUUCUCAUAUGGCGAUCUCGAUUCAAACAGAAUUGAAUUUGAUUUUGUAUGUGGUUCUGUAAUAAGCUUAGUAACAUGAUGAAUUGAGUGAGUAUGAGAUGUGCUUAGAUUAUUGGAGCUUCAGAAGAAGAUGAUAGAGUUAUUGUUAGAAAUUGAGUUAGAGUUUAUGUUGAUUGGUUUAGGUUUGAUAUGAGUUAACAAUUGAAGACGGGUUUCGAGAGAUUGAGUAGAAGAAGAAGAUUUGAAGAUUAUGUUUCGGAGAAGAUAAUUAGGGUUUCUGCAUGUUGUACUGGAGUUCGAAUUGGGAAAAAAAUGGAGAAGAUUUAAAUAUAAUUGUAAGAUGGGUUUUGAUCAUUGAGAACAAGGAAAAAGAAUUGAUAGUUAAUUCUCAAAUCCCAGUGAUGAAUUGAGGAUUCAGGGUUCGUGUUUUUGAUUGACGUUGUAAAAUUGUUGUGAAGUAGAAUUGAGAUGUUAUUGAUCAUGUGAAGAAAUUAAGGUUCCUGGUUUUGGGUUUGAGUUGAAGAUGGAAGGAUUAAGAAGAUGAAAUUGAGAGCAGAACUGACUCGGUGUAAAGGAAAAUGGGAUUUCAAUUGGGUGAACAAAUCUAAUCUGAGUUAAUUACUUUUAUGAAUUCGUUAACAAAGAUGUUCAAUUUGUUGAUUGAUCACUUAGGAUUGAUAACGAAAUUAAGAAAUUAAAGAAGUGCUUUGUUGUGACUUAGGUGUUAUGAACUGUUGGUGUUGAUGUUAAUUGAGAUAAAGUUGUUUAAUCUUCUUGAUUUAGUUUAGGUAUUUGAUGUUUGGUAUAAUGUUUGAGAUGAGUAUAGAAUGGAACUGUGAUUGUUGAUGUGAAGAUGAUGAUGGAUUGUGAACCAUAGCUGCAGGGUGUGGUUGAAUUCUUGUGGUGGUAUGAGAUGAUGUUGUAGGUAUGUUUUUUUGGCUAAGUUCAGAGAAUGGAUAUGGUGGUGCUGAAAUGAUCAAGCCGAGUGGUUGUUGAUAUGAAAAACAAGUUGAGUUAAUUUAAGUUGGUGGUCUAAAAUGGUGGUGUAUUUUGUAUAUGUUUUGGUAGGUGUUGUGGAUUCAACUGGUGGAAAGAUUAAAAUUGUGAUUGAGGAGUUUGUGUACUGCCAGAGUUGAUAUUGGUCUCGAUGUUGAGAUUCAUGAUGUGUUUACAGAGUUGUCUGUUUUGGUGAUGUUGUGAAUAGAGUUGCAGGUUAUGAAAUUUGGAUUAUGUAUUUGCUAGUUGAGCAAAUUUAGAAUGGAGGAGUGUUUGUAAAUGCAGACGGACAGUGUGGUCUGAGCUGAAGCUUAAAUGUAAAAGUUACAUGAUUUAUGAACUGAUAUGUGUAAAGUGAAUUUGGAGAAAGAGGGUAGUUGUAAUGUUGUUUAGCAGAGGCCUUAAUGGAAGCCUGCAACUGCAGAUCAAGUUAGUCUAUAUUAACAACGAUCGAUUCAAAGGAUGAACUAGUGGAUCGUGGAUCUCGAGGUAGGCGUGGCUUGUCAUCAAAAGAGUUUCAGAGACAGAUCAGAGUUGCGCAUCGAAAGCCUUGAGCAGUUGACUUCGUUAAUUAGUUAACUUAUGCUAUAUUUAUUAUGUUUGCAAACCAAAUGACUAUUGUAUAUGUAUCAUUUGAGAGGAGUUCUUGUAUAUAUAUAUAUUUCUG